GGAAAUGCUGCAGAGACCCAGCCGGAAACAGUGCUGGCCAGCUCACGCCUGACCCACCCUUAUUCUAAGCAUAGGGUCUGCCUCUGAAGAGCUAAAGACUUCCUGAAAUUUAAAAAUUAGUGCUUUUAUUUGCUUGUCCUGCUAAGACCGUAGGCAAAGGCCAUCCUCCUCCCAUUGACAGUUUAGAGUGGGCAGAAACAACCACGGUUACCCUAGAAGUAAAUCCAGAGCUGCGGGACGCUGGAGGACAAAACCAACCUUCCAGGGAAGCCGAGGAGAAGUCAUGCCUUCAAAAGGCUGGCACUGUGCCUCACAUCUGCAAUCCCAGCAUUUUGGGAGGCCAAGGCGGGCAGAUCACUUGAGGUCAGGAGUUCGAGACCAGCCUGGGCAACAUGGGGCUGGGAAGUUCAAGAUCCAGGCCUCAGAAGAUUUGGGGUUUGGUGAGGGCCAUCUUCUCACUGUAGCCUUACAUGGUGGAAGAGGUAAGGCAGCUCUCUGGAACCUCUUUUAUAAGGGCACUAAUCCCUUUCAUGAGAACUCAGCCCUUAUGAACUCAUCGCCUCCUAAAUUCUCUACCUCCUAACACCAUCACUUUGACAAUCAGAUUUCAACAUAUGAAUUUGUGGGAGUCACCAGCAUUGAGACUAUAGCAACCCCUUAUUAGAAAUAAUUCAUGAGGAACUGAAACUGUUAGGAAACCACUGUGUAAAUGCUGGGAAACAAAGUCAGAUAAAUAAUGCUGAUAAUUACCUGACUGCUUUUGGAACUGUCCUUUUUUGUGAACAUGAGACUACAUCAUUGUCAGUUGAUUGCAGAAGAACCACUAUGAUAUUAUAAUGGGGUCCUGACUCCAUGACUGUGUAAUUCAUGGCUUUCUAACGGUUUAUUAUUGACCUAACUUUGCAGCUCCCCUAGAUCCCCUAACUCCACCAUCUUGGGUUGCAACCAAUGACCUGUUAUUGCAAAACAGGUAAUCUCACUUAGAUAAGUAUUAAUCAGAGGGGCUUGACUUCCAGAGUUCAUUUCAAUGGUUUUCAACUCAUUUGUAGAGUUUAACAUCAGUAGCCCUUUCUCUUCCAUAGGAGGGAGAUGAACCAUCCUGUUUGUUCAAUAAUCAGUGAGAGCGUGGCUUUAACGUCUCUUCCACUCCUUUCUAGUUCAGGUCUUUCUUAACUUGAUGGAGAUAGCUUGGGCCAGGGAGGGCAGAGUGAAGAUGAGAUGGCAAAAAAAAAAAAGUUUUGAUCAGCA
rnacentral:lncRNA from 1 species